rnacentral:rRNA from 1 species
AGAGAGAGACAUGCGCGCAUAUCAAUAAGCGGAGGAAAAGAAACUAACUAGGAUUCCCCUCAGUAACGGCGAGUGAAGCGGGAAGAGCUCAAAUUUGAAAUCUUCAAGGGUUCUACCUUUACGAAUUGUAGUUUAAAGAAGUGUUUUCUGUUGGAGUUUUGGUAAAAGUUCUUUGGAAUAGGGACAUCAUAGAGGGUGAGAAUCCCGUAUUUGACCAUUACUUUCCAGCUUUGUGAUACACAUUCAAAGAGUCGGAUUGUUUGGGAAUGCAGUCCAAAAUGGGUGGUAAAUUUCAUCUAAAGCUAAAUAUUGGCGAGAGACCGAUAGCGAACAAGUACCGUGAGGGAAAGAUGAAAAGAACUUUGAAAAGAGAGUUAAACAGUACGUGAAAUUGUCAAAAGGGAAGCGUUUGACACCAGUGUUGUUUUCUCGAAAAUCAAUUAAAAAAGGCUAGGAUUUUGUGUUGUAUUGACCUUUAAUCAGCUUUCUGCACUCUUUUCUUGUCUUUUUUAAUGCACUUUUCGUUUAACAAGUCAACAUCAAUUUCUUUUGUUGUAAAAGGGUCAUUGGAAGGUGGCUUUCUUUUCGGAGAAAGUGUUUAUAGCCUUUGGCCUCUGCAAUCGGAGAGAUUGAGGUCUGCAGCGUAGAUCCUUCGGGGUUAGAUACAUUUGUGCUAAGUUAUAGCCUUUCAUAGACAACUUGUUGACUAUGAUUAGUCUUGUAGCUUACUCGCUUAUGCUAUUUUACCUACGCUUAGGAUGUUGAUGUGAUACUGCGAGCA